UAAUAGCAUUGAUUAUACAUAGUAAUAUUUAUAAUUAACAGCACUAUAAAGAAAGUAGGCAGCAAUUUAUUUGAUAUAUGUUUUUAUCUAAUUUUAACAAAGUAUUGAUAUUUUCUCCCUUAAACUGGUUUUGUGGAUGUCGUCCACCGUUGAUAGUCGAUUAUUAUGAGAAUACUAAGAAAGUUAAAACAAAAUGAUUAUCUAAUAAUGUGUUGUAUACAGACAGCUCCUUGUGUAUAGUAAUCGACUACGAGUGACCGACUUAAUAUGUUGAGGCGUUUUUUUUUAUUUGUAUAUUAUAUUAUUUAUUAACGUAUUAAAAUGAGUAACGGCAGAAAACGUUUAAGUGGAAGUGCUUAUAAAAAAGUUGCUAAAUUAAAAUUAGAAAAAGAACAAAAAGUCAUUUCUCAAACCGCAAAAUUAACUUCAUUUUUUGGCAUUCAACGACCAUCAAUCUCCAAUUCGUCAAGUGAAAUAGAGACUACAGCUGAACAGAUUUCGAAUGAGUCGAGAGAUAAAAAGUAAUUUAAAAAUCAUAUGUUAACUUUUGUAAGUUAUUUCAGUUUUAUAUAAAUGAAAAAUUUUAUAAUUUGUUUAGUGAUGUGAUGGUGUCACGUUACCAUUAUUGUGAGAAUUAUUUUAAUAAAAUACAGACAGCACAUCCGCUUCCUGAGACUGAUGAAUUAACAAAUAAUAUUUAUUGCCAAAUUGGCAAUAGUUCUAAUUAUUAUAAAAACCCAAUAGACCUGACCAUCGUGGUCAGUCGACUCCAGUGCCUUGUGUCAUUCAUCAGCCUCAGUACUCGGUUGUCGCUGUCCGGCUUACUGUUUAAAGUAAAGUCUUUGUUUAUUCCUUUUAAAACCUAUCUACUCUCUUCCACAACAUUUCAGAGUACUUGUGUCUUGCACUUCGUCUGCACCUCGUACUCUGUUAUUUUCACUCACCUGGUACGCCUAGUAUUUGUGUCUUGCACUUCGUCUGCACCUCAUACUUGGCUACCCCUAUUCUUUGUCCUCUUCUAUACCCAAAGUAUUUGUGUCUUGCACUUCGUUUGAACCUCAUACCUUGGUGUUACCCUUAUUCCCUUUCUAUAACAACAGCCUUUUGACACCCACAGCUAACCCGGAGUGUCAGCCAAGCACGGUGACUGCUGUAUGACAACACGCACGUGAAUACCUAGACAGCAGGCACCACAUCCUCAUCUUUAUUUUCGUACACAUUACCUCUUCUUAUACACUUUUCAUUUAUUGUGUUACGACAGUGAGCUUAGUCUACAGAGUCCUCUUGAAGCUCUAGCAAAUGAAAAUCAAAUAAUUGAAAAUUCGGAAAAACAAUUAAUAAAUACUUCUUCUAUUAUCUCAAGGAUACUAAGUUGUUUGUUAGAGAACGCCUUUAACUAAGACCUAGUGGACCGUUAAUUAUAUUAUAUCGGUGACAGCUGAUCUCUAGCGUCUCUGCUUUACUCACCUCUGCCCAACCAGAAUGGGAAAUCGAUGGCUUGCGUUUCAAUUGUAAUCCGUGUACAGUUCUUCGUCGUAAGUCAGUUAGUCUAUUGUUUUAUGUGGCAUCUUUUUUUGUAGCAAGUGCUUUCGCUUAAAUGUGAUUGGGACCUGACUACCACUAAAUAACUUCAUUGCCGUAGUCGCUUUUCCGCCGUCUGUUUUCAUUUGCCAUAACGUGCCUGGAUCUACACUCUGACUCAUGAUACUCAGAUGUUCGACACCAUUACCACAAGAUCUCAUACAGUCCACUCAUUACUAUCAACAACUUCAUCAAUCAAGCUGAGUUUUUAUAUUAUUUUUUAAUGUCAUUUAUUAUUUGCUUAAUUAAAUUUAACUAUUUUGUUUUAUGCCGCUUCGCCGGCCAUUAGUAUUUAAGGGCCCCCCGUUACCCCUUAAAUUUAAGAUACUCUUUGAAAAACUUCUAAUAUAUGUGUUUAUUUGUUAUUUAAGUAUUGUCUACUGUCGUUGCUUAUUGGUUGUAUCGUCAGUCGUCAUUCCUCAGGUGACCCACUCCCGCUUUAAUAAUAGCGAUUUAAACAGACUUAAAAUAAAAUAGCGGUGCACAACUAGCCGUCCUACGGUCUAGCUGCUUCGUACGAAACAAGGUUGUGAUUAAUCGCAACGACUUCAUAAUUUUACCGUUAAAAACGAUCAAGUCGAUCAAUCGAAGAAUAGUAAACGGCGAAGAAAAGUUGAAGGUGUUGAAAUGUCAUUAAAGGAUUAAUUUUUAAAAGAGAGGGAUCUAGAAGUUCGUGAUAAUGGACCUCUUCUAUCACAGAAAGCUGAGGAUUUUGUAAGAAAAUAAGGAGAACAUUUUUAAGGCAAUAGAGGGGUGAUUUUGCAAAUCGAAGUAAGAGAAGGAAUUGAAUAACUACAAAUAGUGGACAUAUAAUACCAAAUAGUUGUAAUUUAUGAAUUCAUAAAAUAUAGAUAAAACAAAUUUCUAACUUAAGAUAAGUCAGACACUACGUGGAUAAUAUUACUAGACAAUUCUUUAUUUACUAUGGAUAUAGGCACUUAUUCAAUCGAUGGUAAUUUUCAUGAUAAAAUAAAGCUUACAACCAACAUAUAACGUAUAAAAAUUUUAUAAACUUCUACUUCAUUCUUUAUAAGAUGAUUUUCAAUUGAAGUUGUAAAAUAAACACGAAAUACGAUUAUCAAUCAUCUUAACUAAAAGUUUUUAUGAACGAUCGUUUAUAUCAUUGCAACAGCCGCUACAUAAUUAAGUCUUUUUCUAGUAGGUCCUUUUUAAAAUUACGUAUGAAGUUAUAAUUCCUGUUUAAAACAAAUCUACAAUUUUAAUAUUG